rnacentral:tRNA from 1 species
GCCGGCGUAGCUCAGCUGGUUAGAGCGGCGGUCUCAUAAUCCGCAGGCCGUUGGUUCGAGUCCAACCGCCGGCACCA